rnacentral:rRNA from 1 species
AGAGUUUGAUCAUGGCUCAGAACGUACGCUGGCGGCACGCCUAAUACAUGCAAGUCGAACGAAGUAGCAAUACUUAGUGGCAGACGGGUGAGUAACAUGUGGGUAUCUUCCCUUUGGUUAGGAAUAACACGAGGAAACUUGUGCUAAUACCUCAUAAGUCUUUACAGAGAAAGCUUUAUGCGCCAUUGGAUGAGCCCGCACUUGAUUAGUUUGUUGGUGAGGUAAUGGCUCACCAAGACAAUGAUCAAUAGCUGAUUUGAGAGGAUGAUCAGCCACAUUGGGACUGAGACACGGCCCAAACUCCUACGGGAGGCAGCAGUAGGGAAUCUUGCACAAUGGGGGAAACCCUGAUGCAGCGAUGCCGCGUGAGUGAAGAAGGCCCUUGGGUUGUAAAGCUCUUUCGUCGGGGAAGAAAAUGACUGUACCCGAAUAAGAAGGUCCGGCUAACUUCGUGCCAGCAGCCGCGGUAAUACGAAGGGACCUAGCGUAGUUCGGAAUUACUGGGCUUAAAGAGCUCGUAGGUGGUUAGAAAAGUUGGUGGUGAAAUCCCAAGGCUUAACCUUGGAACUGCCAUCAAAACUUUUUGACUAGAGUAUGAUAGAGGUAAGUGGAAUUUCUAGUGUAGAGGUGAAAUUCGUAGAUAUUAGAAAGAACACCAAUUGCGAAGGCAACUUUCUGGAUCAUUACUGACACUGAGGAGCGAAAGCAUGGGUAGCGAAGAGGAUUAGAUACCCUCGUAGUCCAUGCCGUAAACGAUGUGUGCUAGACGUUGGGAAUUUAAUUUUCAGUGUCGCAGCAAAAGCAUUAAGCACACCGCCUGGGGAGUACGACCGCAAGGUUAAAACCCAAAUGAAUUGACGGGGGCCCGCACAAGUAGUGGAGCAUGUGGUUUAAUUCGAAGAUACGCGCAGAACCUUACCAACACUUGACAUGUUCGUCGCGACUCUAAGAGAUUAGAGUUUUCGGUUCGGCCGGACGAAACACAGGUGCUGCAUGGCUGUCGUCAGCUCGUGUCGUGAGAUGUUGGGUUAAGUCCCGCAACGAGCGCAACCCUUACUUUUAGUUGCUACCAUUCAGUUGGGCACUCUAAAAGAACUGCCAGUGAUAAGCUGGAGGAAGGUGGGGAUGACGUCAAGUCCUCAUGGCCCUUACGUGUUGGGCUACACACGUGCUACAAUGGCACUUACAAUAGGAAGCAAAGAGGCAACUCUUAGCAAAUCUUAAAAAAGUGUCUCAGUUCGGAUUGUACUCUGCAACUCAAGUACAUGAAGCUGGAAUUGCUAGUAAUCGCGGAUCAGCGCGCCGCGGUGAAUACGUUCCCGGGUCUUGUACACACCGCCCGUCACACCAUGGAAGUUGGUUUUACCUUAAGGCAAAUUGUUAACCUUCGGGAAACAUUUGACUACGGUAUGAUCAGCAACUGGGGUGAAGUCGUAACAAGGUAGCC